AACCAUAGAGAUAUACACUUAAUAACACUAGAGGGCGUACUCGCUCAAAUUGCUGUGUGGACCUGGAGCUGUGGCCGCCAUUACUCAGGAGGGCAGAAAAACGAACGACCCAACAAGAUACUGUGCACAACAUACGUGGAAAAAAUUGGAGAAGCCAAGUUCGUGCGUUGCAUUUGGAUGUUCGAACCGAAGAAAGAAAGGGAACUGCAUAAUAUUUCACAAGAAUACACCCAAGAGAGGAAAAGGAUGUUACACACCACAUCUCAUUCUUAGAGCUGUGCCUACUGUCUUUCCUGGACAUCCUCCCUAUAAACAGACCCAUGGCUCAAGACUCCCAGCAAAACCAUGUACAACAUCCGAAAGUGUUCCCGUGCCUCCAAAGAAACCCUAUGACAUUACAAAAGAACAUGACUAUUCUUUUUCUGUCUGAGUUGAUUAGAAACUGAAUAUAACCAGACAGCAAGUGCAGGAUGCCAAGAAACAGCUUAAAGUGGUGAAACAAGGUAAACAGGAGAGAUGGAAAAACCAGGACUCUCUUGCAGGAAGUCCACGAAAGCAAGCUCAUUAGCCAGGAUCAGCUUGACCUACUUCAACACAACUUUGGAGAGAACGCAUUUUCAGGAAAAACAAAACAAAACAUAGAACUUCAUUCGUACAAACUACAAAGACAGAUCGGUCUUUUAUAUUUUGCCUCUUGUCUGCAUAGCUUAUCCACUGGAUGAUUGACUGUGAAGCCGUUUAAAACUGGAGAGAGCUUUCAAUAAUCUUUUAAAAAAACAGAACAAUCUGAGACUUUUGUUCUGUGUAAUGAAAUAAAAUUUUGGGGACACAUUGUGACAGUUGCACAACCUAACCAUAAUUUUCUGUUUGUUAACUUUACACGAAGGCAAACUAAAGUGGAACUUAGAAGAAUUGAUUACAUUAGGGGUUAAACAAAAUGUACUUGAAUUUUGAGUUGUUGUGAGGUACACUGUAUUUGAAUAUUUACUCUAUAAGCUUCAUGAUUGUACCUGCUGUAUCUGAUUCAGUUGCUAUAAUUCGUCCCUAUUUUCAGGAAGUGACGGUAGUGAGGAAAAUCGUAACGCAAAGUGAAUGCAUUUUUUUUUCACUACCGUCACUUCGUGAAAACAGCGACGAAUUUUUGCAAAUUAUUUGCACUCUACAUGUGCUUUGAUUCUGCAGGUACAGUAUGGAUAACCUGAGAUAAAUAUGUAGACCUUUUUUAUAACAUUGUCUGGAUUGCUCUCAACCAAGUGAUUUACAUCAUUAAAGAUGAAAAGCAAGAAAUUCACAUCAAGUGAGCCCAUUUUUAAUAAACGAGAAGAAUUCACAGAUGUGUGGCAAUUGAAAAGCCUGUGUUAUGCACACCAUAUACACACCCAUAGAUCGUUUUGUACAUAGGUUUGAAUUUUGUUCCAAAAUGGAAAACUGCUUUUGAAGAGAUUUGAUAACAGAAAAAUUAUAUGGAAUAAUGUCACUAGAUGUAAACCCAUAAGAUUGUGCACUCUUUGGCUUGUUGUAUCUACUGUGUACAUUUGAGGGUAAUCAGUUUCAAAUUUAUUAUUACACCUGAUGAAUAAUGAUGUCAAAAGACCAUGUUACUAUGAGGUUUCACUGAAUAGUGUAGUGCAGUAUCCUGAGAUGUAAGUCUCUUCAAUUAUAGUUCUUCAUAGCAAUACAGGUGACUUGGAAUAUAUAUGCUCAAUUACUAUUUCUGGUUUGCAUUUAUUACUCGAUGUAUUAUUUGUAAAUGUGACGCGCCGGCGUGCGCUUGGAGCCAAGACUAGUUAAUAAAGUGUUUGUUAUCGCUGACAUCUUGAAACAUAGACAUUGGCCUCCUGACAUUUAUGUUUUGGGAGUUAUUGUGGCGGUUUUGGGAUGUGUAAUGCUUGUCUUUGGUGGCGAAUCAAUUUGUUGUGGUUGUGUUGCCUAUGAUCCGUGACAGUAAAUUUGGGGCUAAAAUCUGAGGUGUUGUUUUUGCAAUGUCUGUCUUUUCAAUUGUGAUGUACUAUUGCAGUAUAUAUGUCCGAUAAAAUGUCAAAACUUAAAUGCCUAUGCUGUAGAAUAUCAACACACGUGUGCCGUGUGGUAAUAAAAGGUUCAUUUAUUCAUUUUUUUC